rnacentral:rRNA from 1 species
AGAGUUUGAUCCUGGCUCAGGACGAACGCUGGCGGCGUGCUUAACACAUGCAAGUCGAACGAGAAUCUGUGGAACGAGGAUUCGUCCAAGGGAAACAGAGGACAGUGGCGGACGGGUGAGUAACGCGUGAGGAACCUGCCUUUCAGAGGGGGACAACAGUUGGAAACGACUGCUAAUACCGCAUGACACAUAGGGGUCGCAUGGCCUUUAUGUCAAAGAUUUAUCGCUGAAAGAUGGCCUCGCGUCUGAUUAGCUAGUUGGUGAGGUAACGGCCCACCAAGGCGACGAUCAGUAGCCGGACUGAGAGGUUGAACGGCCACAUUGGGACUGAGAUACGGCCCAGACUCCUACGGGAGGCAGCAGUGGGGAAUAUUGCGCAAUGGGGGAAACCCUGACGCAGCAACGCCGCGUUAAGGAAGAAGGCUUUCGGGUUGUAAACUUAUGUCUGGUGGGAAGAUAAUGACGGUACCACCGGAGGAAGUCACGGCUAACUACGUGCCAGCAGCCGCGGUAAUACGUAGGUGGCGAGCGUUGUCCGGAAUUACUGGGUGUAAAGGGCGCGUAGACGGGUAGAUAAGUUAGAUGUGAAAUACCGGGGCUUAACUCCGGGGCUGCAUUUAAAACUGUUUAUCUUGAGUGCAGGAGAGGGAAGCGGAAUUCCUAGUGUAGCGGUGAAAUGCGUAGAUAUUAGGAGGAACACCAGUGGCGAAGGCGGCUUUCUGGACUGUAACUGACGUUGAGGCGCGAAAGCGUGGGUAGCAAACAGAAUUAGAUCCCCUGGUAGUUCACGCUGUAAACGAGGAUGGCUAGGUGUUGGGGAGCAAAGCUCUUCGGUGCCGCCGCAAACGCAUUAAGCAUUCCACCUGGGGAGUACGUUCGCAAGAAUGAAACUCAAAGGAAUUGACGGGGACCCGCACAAGCGGUGGAGCAUGUGGUUUAAUUCGAAGCAACGCGAAGAACCUUACCAAGUCUUGACAUCCCGAUGAAAAGUCCUUAACCGGACUCCCUCUUCGGAGCAUCGGUGACAGGUGGUGCAUGGUUGUCGUCAGCUCGUGUCGUGAGAUGUUGGGUUAAGUCCCGCAACGAGCGCAACCCUUAUCCUCAGUAGCCAGCAGUAAGAUGGGCACUCUGGGGAGACUGCCAGGGAUAACCUGGAGGAAGGUGGGGAUGACGUCAAAUCAUCAUGCCCCUUAUGAUUUGGGCUACACACGUGCUACAAUGGCGUAAACAAAGAGAAGCGAGCCUGCGAGGGGGAGCAAAUCUCAAAAAUAACGUCUCAGUUCGGAUUGCAGGCUGCAACUCGCCUGCAUGAAGCUGGAAUCGCUAGUAAUCGCGGAUCAGAAUGCCGCGGUGAAUACGUUCCCGGGUCUUGCACACAACGCCCGUCA